rnacentral:lncRNA from 1 species
GACACCUAAGCCUUCACUGGUGUCUUCAUCCUUCCGCCCAUGUGAUGCUUAUCUUACAGCACUUGAAAUUCUGUUUCAGAUCUAGCUUCAAGGAAUUAAGCUUUCAGAAACAGGCACCAACUCUGAACUCCUAAUUUUCAAAUGCUUAUGAAAAGAUAUCUGGAUCUGACUUGCAGAGUAUCGAUUACUCACAAAUCCAGGUUUUCAAGCCAAGUUUUCAUGAUACGAUCCAGCUGGCUUACAGGGAU